UGAGAAAAGGGAACUACCGCUGGUAUUUUUCUCAUCUGUUUGCCUGAUUAAAAGGGCGGCAAAAUGGGUAGAUACGAGAGGAAGGUCCGGACACCAUAAGACAGUCGUAGCGGGUAACGCCCGUCCACCGCGAGGUGAGGACAAGUGCAACAGAAAGAAUGUAUAGGCAACAAAACUUUUUUCUCCUCUUUGGUCUCCUUUUGGUUUGGUUUUGUCUUUUUGAAUGAAGUUUGGUUGUGCUGUAGUGAAAUCAGGUAAACUCUACGAGGUGCAAGCCCGUGUAGGCCAACGCUAUCAGGGUAUGUCUUCCCGAAGUUGGCGGGUAGGGUGCUUGAGGCCAGCAGCAAUGUUGGUCCUAGAGAAAUGGUGGUUGAAAACAGAAUCCGGCCUACUCCUUUUCUCGGUCU
rnacentral:RNase_P_RNA from 1 species